GUCAGAGAUGCUCAGUGAUCCUCAGAGCAGAGAGGGGUAUUGCUGUCUUCUGAGUUCAUAUCAGUAUGACAUCAGUGGAGAAGAUCACAUCACCUGACCUCCUGCCUAAUCUAGAGACCAUCACCAUGCUGCCACAGUCAACACCUCUGAAACAAUCAAGGAUGACUCAUACUGAGGAAACUGUACUUCGUGUCAGAGUCCAGUGAUCUACAGAGCAGAGAAAGUCUCUCUGUUCAGGUACUGCUGUCUUCCGAGUUUUUCAGUUUCCAAACUGAGAUAUUCAAACCUCAUCACAGAGCUUGUGUCUAUCUUCACCAAUCUCACACUCACAUGGUGUGAGAUUGCUCUGGAUUCUGGUUAUGUGGCCUGCAGCACC